GAUGAACGCUGGCGGCGUGCCUAAUACAUGCAAGUCGAGCGAACGGACGAGAAGCUUGCUUCUCUGAUGUUAGCGGCGGACGGGUGAGUAACACGUGGAUAACCUACCUAUAAGACUGGGAUAACUUCGGGAAACCGGAGCUAAUACCGGAUAAUAUUUUGAACCGCAUGGUUCAAAAGUGAAAGACGGUCUUGCUGUCACUUAUAGAUGGAUCCGCUCUGCUUUAGCUAUUUGGUAAGGUAACGGCUUACCAAGGCAACGAUGCAUAGCCGCCCGGAGAGGGUGACCGCCCACACGGGAACGGGAAAACGGUCCGGACUCCUAGGGGAGGAGGCAGAAGGGAAUCUUCCGCAAUGGGCGAAAGCCUACCGGAGAAACGCCGCGUGAGUGAGGAAGGUCUUCGGAUCGUAAAACUCUGUUAUUAGGGAAGAACAUAUGUGUAAGUAACUGUGCACAUCUUGACGGUACCUAAUCAGAAAGCCACGGCUAACUACGUG
rnacentral:rRNA from 1 species